AGUAAGGGACCUAACACUGAGACAGUUAACCAACCCUCAUAGUAAGGGACCUAACACUGAGACAGUUAACCAACCCUUAUAGUAAGGGGACUAAUACUGAGACAGUUAAACAACCCUUGUGGUCACAUGGGGCCGCCUCCCACUUUGACCUGAGCUAUAACAUGUCGGUCUUUUACAGAUUCAGUUUUUCCCCCAGAUCAUUUCCCUGCCUGGGCGGUAAGCCCCGCAGAACAACAUCCAGGCCCUCUUCUCACCAACACUGUUAGUUGACACCAAUAUAAAACAACUUUGUAUAAACCGGGAGACCCGGCUAGAUUAGACAACCGGGGUGAUGUGAUGUGAUACUCACUGGCCAACAAGACCAACAACUUUAUGAAGUGUCUAUGUAGGCCUUUAUGAAGAGGUUAUGAAGGAUUCAUUAAGCCUUAUAAGUGGUCGUACUCACUGGCCAACAAGACCAACAACUUUAUGAAGUGUCUAUGUAGGCCUUUAUGAAGAGGUUAUGAAGGAUUCAUUAAGCCUUAUAAGUGGUCGUACUCACUGGCCAACAAGACCAACAACUUUAUGAAGUGUCUAUGUAGGCCUUUAUGAAGAGGUUAUGAAGGAUUCAUUAAGCCUUAUAAGUGGUCGUACUCACUGGCCAACAAGACCAACAACUUUAUGAAGUGUCUAUGUAGGCCUUUAUGAAGAGGUUAUGAAGGAUUCAUUAAGCCUUAUAAGUGGUCGUACUCACUGGCCAACAAGACCAACAACUUUAUGAAGUGUCUAUGUAGGCCUUUAUGAAGAGGUUAUGAAGGAUUCAUUAAGCCUUAUAAGUGGUCGUACUCACUGGCCAACAAGACCAACAACUUUAUGAAGUGUCUAUGUAGGCCUUUAUGAAGAGGUUAUGAAGGAUUCAUUAAGUCUUAUAAGUGGUCGUACUCACUG